rnacentral:rRNA from 1 species
GAUGAACGCUGGCGGCGUGCCUAAUACAUGCGAGUCGAGCGAACAGACGAGGAGCUUGCUCCUCUGACGUUAGCGGCGGACGGGUGAGUAACACGUGGAUAACCUACCUAUAAGACUGGGAUAACUUCGGGAAACCGGAGCUAAUACCGGAUAAUAUAUUGAACCGCAUUGUUCAAUAGUGAAAGACGGUUUUGCUGUCACUUAUAGAUGGAUCCGCGCCGCAUUAGCUAGUUGGUAAGGUAGCGGCUUACCAAGGCAACGAUGCGUAGCCGACCUGAGAGGGUGAUCGGCCACCCUGGAUCUGAGACACGGUCCAGACUCCUACGGGAGGAAGCAGUAGGGAAUCUUACGCAAUGGGCGAAAGCCUGACGGAGCAACGCCGCGUGAGUGAUGAAGGUCUUCGGAUCGUAAAACUCUGUUAUUAGGGAAGAACAAAUGUGUAAGUAACUAUGCACGUCUUGACGGUACCUAAUCAGAAAGCCACGGCUAACUACGUG